GGAAAGGUGAGACUCCUAGCGAUGGAGGACUUGCUCCUUGAUUCUUCUGGCGGACGGGUGAGUAAUGCCUAGGAAUCUGCCUGGUAGUGGGGGACAACGUUUCGAAAGGAACGCUAAUACCGCAUACGUCCUACGGGAGAAAGCAGGGGACCUUCGGGCCUUGCGCUAUCGAUGAGCCUAGGUCGGAUUAGCUAGUUGGUGAGGUAAUGGCUCACCAAGGCGACGAUCCGUAACUGGUCUGAGAGGAUGAUCAGUCCACUGGAACUGAACACGGUCCAACUCCUACGGGAGGCAUGGGGAAUAUUGAAAAAGGGGGAAGGCUGUCCCCCUGCCCCUGUGUAAAAGGU
rnacentral:rRNA from 1 species